AGGUUUCGAAUAUUAAAAUGUCUCGAGAGGGUCAAAACGAGAGAGAGAGAGAGAGAGAUAUAUCUGCAAAACAACGAACUCUCCACGAUUCUCUCUCACACCGCUCUCCAAUCUAGAACAAACACAAUGGAGGCGGAGAAGAACGAAGAACUGGAAUGAUUAAGAUGAAGAUUAAACAAGGAUCUGUCUUUCAACUUAUCUAUAUGAAGUUGAACUCCCAUCUGCUUCGUUUUUUCACUGUUUUAUGAACAGGAGUGUCGCAUAUCAGGCUUCACAACGAUUUCAACUCCCCUCCCAGGUUAGCAAAUGGAAAAUGAAAGACGGAUGCACAUAAUGAGGAAUAAAAAGAAGGGGUCAGAGGUUUUCUCUAUAGCGUAUUAGUUGAAAUGAAAAUAUUUGACUAAGUUCGAAAAUACGAGUUUUCGUCAUCACUAUUCUUAAAGUGUUAUGUUUUAAGAGUUAUUGGGUUUUAUGUUUGGUUUUGGCCAUGAUGCUAAUCUCCGAUGUUUGAUAUUUGAUGAUAUGUGAAAGAAUAGGUGGUGUUCAUCUUGGGUUGGAUUAGGGCAUAGUAAAUGGGUGAUUUAGGACA